rnacentral:rRNA from 1 species
UACGUAGGGUGCAAGCGUUGCCCGGAUUUAUUGGGCGUAAAGAGCUCGUAGGCGGUUUGUCGCGUCUGCCGUGAAAGUCCGGGGCUCAACUCCGGAUCUGCGGUGGGUACGGGCAGACUAGAGUGAUGUAGGGGAGACUGGAAUUCCUGGUGUAGCGGUGAAAUGCGCAGAUAUCAGGAGGAACACCGAUGGCGAAGGCAGGUCUCUGGGCAUUAACUGACGCUGAGGAGCGAAAGCAUGGGGAGCGAACAGG